rnacentral:rRNA from 1 species
GACGAACGCUGGCGGCGUGCUUAACACAUGCAAGUCGAACGGAAAGGCCCUGCUUUUGUGGGGUGCUCGAGUGGCGAACGGGUGAGUAACACGUGAGUAACCUGCCCUUGACUUUGGGAUAACUUCAGGAAACUGGGGCUAAUACCGGAUAGGAGCUCCUGCUGCAUGGUGGGGGUUGGAAAGUUUCGGCGGUUGGGGAUGGACUCGCGGCUUAUCAGCUUGUUGGUGGGGUAGUGGCUUACCAAGGCUUUGACGGGUAGCCGGCCUGAGAGGGUGACCGGCCACAUUGGGACUGAGAUACGGCCCAGACUCCUACGGGAGGCAGCAGUGGGGAAUAUUGCACAAUGGGCGGAAGCCUGAUGCAGCAACGCCGCGUGCGGGAUGACGGCCUUCGGGUUGUAAACGCUUUCGCCUGUGACGAAGCGUGAGUGACGGUAAUGGGUAAAGAAGCACCGGCUAACUACGUG